UAGGUGAGAUCCUAUGGACCUAAUAAUGUGGUGGCUCUAAACAACAUUUCUUCAUGAAGACCCACUUGAAAUCUUGAUACAUAUUAGUCCAUAACCUGAAAAUCUCAAAACAUCUCCAUACAAAAUAUAUGUUAUCAUCAUUAAAAUAAAAAGUCAUAAAUCAACAUUUUCCUCUUUUUGAUGAUGAUAAUAUAUAACCCUACAAAACAACUUGUCAUAAUUAAAACCAAUAACAUAUAAACCAACAAUAAGUUCUCUUUGCUUUUCUCUAAUCUAGUGACAAUAUUCUUAAUUUGUUCAAAGUAAAUUUCAUUCCUAACAUAUUAUCACUAGUUUCCUUUACGUAUACGUGGAAUGUUAAAUGCCUCGUGUCAAAGUAAAAGGAUAUUGGAAUUAGUUUUGUUUAGAUCUGAUAGCCUGAUUGAUUUGAAGUAUUUAACGACCUGGUAUCUAUGAAUUAGAUUUUGCAAUAUCAUUUCCGUAUAAGAUUUACAUUUGUUUAUCUAUGAGUGCUCAGUAUUCUGGAUUUUAUAUAUAUACCAUCUUUUACUCACAUCGUUUAGUUUCCUUCUUGUUUGACCGAGAAAACACUGUGACUUUGGUCUGUUACAGGCAUUCCCAGCACUAUGCAUGUUCUUCAGACAGCGGUCUCAUACAAUUUAACUGUCAGCUAAAGAGGUAUGAAUAUGAUUUGGUUGUAUGGAGGAACUAAGACUGUAGAGCCUCAUGUCAGCUAUGAUCUCCGGUGGAUUAGGAUGGUCACUUCUAGCAUCAAUGAUUCAUUCUAAAGCUUGACGAUCGAAAAAGCAGCUUUAGCCCAUCCCUAUUUCGACAGAGAAGGGUAAUUAUAUUGGCUUUGUCCUUCAUGAAGAACCUCAGGCUAUGUUGGAACUUGUGGCUGAGCCAUUUGUUAACUGUCCAGUUGUGUAAGCAAGCAAUUUACAGAAGACACGGAGGAAACUUAAAUGUAAUACAAGUGGCUGUUUAAUUAAUUUCGUUGCCUAGCUUUGGCAUUAUUAUCGCCCACCCCCUUCUCCCGGGCUGACUAUUGGCCUACAUUUUCCUCGCAUUCCGGGGGAUAUUGUCUCGCAAACAAGUAAUGCUUCCGAAAAAUCUUUUCCUUGUAGUCCUAAAUCCUAAUAUAUAAUUAUGAAGUGUUACAAACAUGCAUGUAGAUUUAUACUGAUCUUAUUCAGAUUCCCAUCAUCG
rnacentral:lncRNA from 1 species